GACGAACGCUGGCGGCGUGCUUAACACAUGCAAGUCGAACGGAAAGGCCCUGCGUUUGUGGGGUGCUCGAGUGGCGAACGGGUGAGUAACACGUGAGUAACCUGCCCUUGACUGUGGGAUAACUUCAGGAAACUGGGGCGAAUACCGGAUAGGAGCUCCUUCUACAUGGUGUGUGUGGGAAAAUUUCGGCGGUUGGGGAUGGACUCGUGGCUUAUCAGCGUGUUGGUGGGGUAGUGGCUUACCAAGGCUUUGAGGGGUAGCCGGACUGAGAGGGUGACCGGCCACAUUGGCACUGAGGUACGGGCAAGACUGCUACGGCAGGCAGCAGUGAGGAAUAUAGCACGAUGGGCGGCAGCAGGAUGGAGCAUCGCCGCGUGCGGGAUGACGGCUUUCGGGUUGUAACGCGCUUUCGCCUGUGACGAAGCGUGAGUGACGGUAAUGAGUAAAGAAGCAACGGCUAACUACGUG
rnacentral:rRNA from 1 species